AAUCCAUGAUGUGGACACCUUCUUACCAAAUCCUUAAACCUUCCCAAGCUUUAUGAAGUGUUUCCACAUCCAUCUGAGUAAACAUCUGGAUAUCAUUUCAUAGCUU